UCAGUGUCAAGGUCUUAAACAUAUUACACGUAAUGCAAAAGUCAACAUAAUUUUUAUAUUUACUGCUUCCGAAGAAAACCUGAUCAUAUAAUAGAUACUGAUCAUAUAAUAGAUCGGUCGUUGUAAGCACUACCUCAUGGCGUGUGAGAUUGCGGAAGCUCGUUGUUGAAAUCCAACUUUGCUAGGAUUACAAAAACCAUUAGGUCACCAAUAAAUAUUAAAGGUAUAAA